AUACGGAGGGUGCAAGCGUUACUCGGAAUCACUGGGCGUAAAGCGCGCGCAGGCGGCUUGAUAAGUUGGAUGUGAAAGCCUACGGCUCAACCGUAGAACUGCAUCCAAAACUGUCAGGCUAGAGUGUGGGAGAGGAAGAUGGAAUUAGUUGUGUAGGGGUAAAAUCCGUAGAGAUAACUAGGAAUACCAAAAGCGAAGGCAAUCUUCUGGAACACUACUGACGCUGAGGCGCGAAGGCGUGGGGAGCAAACAGGAGUAGAAACCCCGGUAGUCC
rnacentral:rRNA from 1 species